UACGACCAUAUCACGUUAAAACACCGGUUCUCGUCUGAUCAGUGAAGUUAAGCAACGUUGAGCUUGGUUAGUGCCUAGAUGGGUGACCGCUUACGAAUACCAGGUGCUGUAAG